GUGCUUCAUGACUGAGGUGAAGUCGUAACAAGGUAACCGUAGGGGAACCUGUGGCUGGAUCACCUCCUU
rnacentral:rRNA from 1 species